rnacentral:rRNA from 1 species
CGCGAAUAGCUCAUUACAACAGCUAUAAUUUACUUGAUCUUGACACAAUCCUACUUGGAUAACUGUGGUAAUUCUAGAGCUAAUACAUGCAUUAAAGCUCUGACCUCACGGGAAGAGUGCAUUUAUUAGAACAAAACCAAGCGGCUUCGGCUGUUUCUGGUUGACACAUAGUAACUGAGCUGAUCGCAUGGUCUUGCACCGGCGACGUGUCUUUCAAGUAUCUGCCGUAUCAACUUUCGAUGGUAGUGUAUCUGACUACCAUGGUGAUCACGCGUAACGGAGAAUAAGGGUUCGACUCCGGAGAGUUCGCCUGAGAAAUCGCGAACACAUCUAAGGAAGGCAGCAGGCGCGAAAAUUACCCACUCUCAGCACGAGGAGGUAGUGACGAAAAAUAACGAGACCGUUCUCUUUCGAGGCCGGUCAUCGGAAUGGGUACAAUUUAAACCCUUUAACGAGUAUCUAUGAGAGGGCAAGUCUGGUGCCAGCAGCCGCGGUAAUUCCAGCU